rnacentral:rRNA from 1 species
CAACAGUACAUCAAAACUUUGCAACAACGGAUCUCUUGGUUCUGGCAUCNAUGAAGAACGCAGCGAAAUGCNAUAAGUAGUGUGAAUUGCAGAAUUCAGUGAAUCAUCNAUAUCUUUGAACGCACAUUGCGCCCCUUGGUAUCCCGAGGGGCAUGCCUGUUCGAGCGUCAUUUCACCACUCAAGCCCGGCUUGGUGUUGGGCGACGUCUCCUUUAGGGACGCGCCUCUGUAAACGCUCGGCGGCGUGGCACCGGUCUUUAAGCGUAGACAGAAUCUUUCGCUUUGAAAGUCGGGGCCUCGUCUGCCGGAAUGUACCUACUC